rnacentral:lncRNA from 1 species
GAGUAGUGGCUUGCUAUCAUCAUUAUUUGGGAGAGGAUUUGUUAUCUAUUUUAAAGGGGUCACAUCAAGUCUGACAGAACAACAAAUAAAGAUGAACCUGCGCUCCAGGCAGACAGAUGCUGGGUUAAGCGUUAACAAGAGUUUACUAGACAAUACUGCGCUUGUCCAACCGCUGGAGGCAGUUCUGACUGGAGCCCCACCCUUCAGCAGAGAAAUCCCGAGGAGACCCCCAAAAAGAAGACAAGCAAGACUGGGGGAAAUGGCUCUUUUUCAGUUUCUCUGAGCCAGAUCUCUGAUAAAGUGGUGUUAAGGGGACGGCACAAUGCUCUCAUUCUUUGCCAGUGGUGAGUAGCUUCAGGGCCUUCUGCAGAUUCUGGACGGCGGUGCCCACGUCCUCAUAUUGCAGUGCGCUGCCUGCGUAUUUACAGUAUUUCUGAGCCCGAGUGAAGUCUUCUGGUGUGAGCCGCACGUCACCUGCAAAGAAAAAAAAGUGUUCACUGUUUGUAUGUAAUGUGAAAGCAUUUUAAAUAAAGCCUAAUUGCGUGUG